rnacentral:rRNA from 1 species
GACGAACGCUGGCGGCGUGCCUAACACAUGCAAGUCGAACGGAGAUACGAUUUCGGUUGUAUCUUGGUGGCGAACGGGUGAGUAACGCGUGAACAACCUGACUCUUAGAGGGGGAUAACACUCGGAAACGGGUGCUAAUACCGCAUAAGACCACGACCCGGCAUCGGGAUGAGGUCAAAGGAGCAAUCCGCUGAGAGAGGGGUUCGCGUCCCAUUAGAUAGAUGGCGGGGUAACGGCCCACCAUGUCGACGAUGGGUAGCCGAGCUGAGAGGCUGAUCGGCCACACUGGAACUGAGACACGGUCCAGACUCCUACGGGAGGCAGCAGUGGGGAAUAUUGGGCAAUGGGCGCAAGCCUGACCCAGCAACGCCGCGUGAGGGAAGAAGGCUUUCGGGUUGUAAACCUCUGUCCUUGGUGACGAAACAAAUGACGGUAGCCAAGGAGGAAGCCCCGGCUAACUACGUGCCAGCAGCCGCCGUAA